rnacentral:rRNA from 1 species
AAGGCCUAUGAUGCAAUAAUGGAGUCAGUCGACAAAGGCCUAGGAAAGCAGAUAUUUGUCGAAGGCUACGGUGGCACAGGAAAAACCUAUCUAUGGAAAGCAAUAACGACAAAGCUAAGAUCAGAGGGGAAGGUAGUGCUUGCGGUAGCAUCAUAUGGCAUUGCAGCGUUGCUUCUCCAAGGUGGAAGAACAGCACACUCAAGGUUCCGUAUUCCACUUAAUAUCACUGAAGAAUCAACGUGUGAAAUAAAACAAGGCUCGCAUUUGGCUGAACUGCUAAAGAAGACCUCACUUAUAUUGUUGGACGAGGCUCCUAUGGCAAACAAACACUGCUUCGAGGCACUAGACAAAAGCCUGAGAGAUAUUCUAAGGUUCACUAAUGAAAACAACGAUGAAAAGCCAUUUGGUGGAAUGACAGUUAUACUAGGAGGCGACUUCAGACAAAUCCUGCCAGUUAUAACCAAAGGAAGGAGAGAGCAGAUAGUAAAUGCUUCAAUCAAAAGGUCAUAUCUGUGGAAACACUUUGAAAUAUUUGAGUUAACACAAAACAUGCGGCUGAAGUGUUUGUCAGAUGAUCCAAUACAAAAGCAAAAGGUCGCUGAAUUUGCAGAGUGGAUACUACAGAUUGGCGAUGGCAAAACAACAUCAGAUGAAGGAGAGGAUUGGAUAAAAAUACCAAAAGACCUACUGCUAGAGAAAGGAGAAAAUCGUAAAGAACAAAUCGUCAAAAGCAUAUACCCAAAUUUGCUGCAAAAAUACCGUGAGCGGUAUUACCUAGAAGAAAGAGCAAUACUAUGUCCAAGAAAUGAUACAGUCAAGAAGAUAAAUGACCACAUAAUGAGCCAAAUACAAGGUGAAGAGGUGACAUACCUAAGCCUGGACACAAUGUGCAAGGCAACGACAAAUACCAACAUCAUGAUGAACAUGCAGCCUACUGAGCUCCUCAACACCUUAACGUCCCCAGGAAUACCAGACCAUAAGUUAAAACUGAAGGUAGGUUUGCCGCUCAUGCUCCUACGCAACAUCAACCAAGCAGCAGGCUUAUGCAACGGUACAAGAAUGACAAUUACACAACUUGGAAACAAAUACAUCGAGACACAAAUAAUCACAGGAACACAUGUCGGCGAUAAGGUAUACAUACCUCGAAUCAUCAUGUCACCAAGUGACUCAAAAUGGCCAUUCGUG